rnacentral:rRNA from 1 species
UACGGGGGGUGCAAGCGUUGUCCGGAUUUAUUGGGCGUAAAGAGCGUGUAGGCGGCCAGACAGGUCCGUUGUGAAAACUCGAGGCUCAACCUCGAGAUGUCGAUGGAAACCGUCUGGCUAGAGUCCGGAAGAGGAGUGUGGAAUUCCUGGUGUAGCGGUGAAAUGCGCAGAUAUCAGGAAGAACACCUAUGGCGAAGGCAGCACUCUGGGACGGUACUGACGCUGAGACGCGAAAGCGUGGGGAGCGAACAGG